rnacentral:rRNA from 1 species
GAUCAAGCUACUAAGGGCAUAUGGUGGAUGUCUCGGCGUCAGAAGGCGAUGAAGGACGUUGGAACCUGCGAAAAGCUUCAGGGAGCUGGUAACCGAGCUGUGAUCUGAAGAUAUCCGAAUGGGGUAACCCGGCCGAAAGGUCAUUGCACACUGAAUGCAUAGGUGUGCAAAGCGAACCCGGUGAACUGAAACAUCUCAGUAACCGGAGGAAAGGAAAGCAACAGCGACUCCGUAAGUAGCGGCGAGCGAAAGCGGAUUAAGCAGGAGCUGCAUGAGCGAACUGGAAAGUUCGACCAAAGAGGGUGAUAGUCCCGUAAUGCAGUAUCUGUGUAGCCCUAGAGUAAUGUCGGGCCCGUGAAACCCGGCAUGAACAUGGGGGGUCCACCCUCCAAGGCUAAGUACUCUCUGACGACCGAUAGUGAACCAGUAAGGCGACUGAACGAUGAAAAGAUCCCUUGUUAAGGGAGUGAAACAGUACCUGAAACCAUAUGCUUACACAGCGGUCGGAGCUCUUCAACUUGUUGAAGGGUGACGGCGUGCCUUUUGCAUAAUGACCCUGCGAGUUACUCUGUACGGCGAGGUUAAGGCCUAACGGGCCGGAGCCUAAGCGAAAGCGAGUCUGAAACGGGCGCUUAGUCGUAUGGAGUAGACGCGAAACCCGGUGAUCUACCCAUGGGCAGGUUGAAGGGCGGGUAACACCGCCUGGAGGACCGAACGCACCAACGUUGAAAAGUUGGGCGAUGACCUGUGGGGAGGAGUAAAAGUCUAAUCAAACCGGGAGAUAGCUCGUUCUCUCCGAAAUAUUUUUAGGAAUAGCCUCUCGUAGCAACUGAUGGGGGUAGAGCUACUGGAUGCCUUUGGGGCCCGUUCUGGGUACCCGGGGCAACCAAACUCCGAAUACCAUCAGCCAAGGCGAGGGAGUCAGUCCAUGAGUGACAAUAUCCAUGGACAAAAGGAAAACAAUCCAGACCGCCGGCUAAGGUCCCUGAACAGAAC